rnacentral:rRNA from 1 species
UACGGGGGGGGCAAGCGUUGUUCGGAAUUACUGGGCGUAAAGGGCUCGUAGGUGGCCAACUAAGUCGGACGUGAAAUCCCUCAGCUUAACUGGGGAACUGCGUCCGAUACUGGAUGGCUUGAGUUUGGGAGAGGGAUGCGGAAUUCCAGGUGUAGCGGUGAAAUGCGUAGAUAUCUGGAAGAACACCGGUGGCGAAGGCGGCAUCCUGGACCAACACUGACACUGAGGAGCGAAAGCCAGGGGAGCAAACGGG